rnacentral:rRNA from 1 species
UACGUAGGGUGCGAGCGUUGUCCGGAAUUACUGGGCGUAAAGAGCUCGUAGGCGGCUUGUCGCGUUGUCCGUGAAAAUUUACCGCUCAACGGUGAACUUGCGGGCGAUACGGGCAGGCUAGAGUACUGCAGGGGAGACUGGAAUUCCUGGUGUAGCGGUGAAAUGCGCAGAUAUCAGGAGGAACACCGGUGGCGAAGGCGGGUCUCUGGGCCGAUACUGACGCUGAGGAGCGAAAGCGUGGGGAGCGAACAGG